AAAGAGACAAAUCAUGGGUUUCCAUGUCUAAAGUUUGACCGGCCGUCUUAUAUAAUUUUUUUAUAAUUAGUAUUUUAAUUGUUGUUAGAUGAUAAAACAUGAUUAAUACUUUAUGUGCGAUUUGUCUUUUUAUUUUUUUUCAUAAUUUUUUUAAAUAAGACGUCAAACGUUGGAUACGGAAAUCUAGGGUUUGUCUUUUU
rfam:Oryza sativa Japonica Group DNA, chromosome 4, cultivar: Nipponbare, complete sequence.